UACGUAGGGUGCAAGCGUUGUCCGGAAUUAUUGGGCGUAAGAGCUCGUAGGCGGUUUGUCGCGUCUGCUGUGAAAACUCGGGGCUUAACCCCGGGCCUGCAGUGGGUACGGGCAGACUAGAGUGCGGUAGGGGAGACUGGAAUUCCUGGUGUAGCGGUGAAAUGCGCAGAUAUCAGGAGGAACACCGGUGGCGAAGGCGGGUCUCUGGGCCGAUAUUGACGCUGAGGAGCGAAAGCGUGGGGAGCGAACAGG
rnacentral:rRNA from 1 species